rnacentral:rRNA from 1 species
AUACAGAGGGUGCGAGCGUUAAUCGGAAUUACUGGGCGUAAAGCGCGCGUAGGCGGCUGAUUAAGUCAGAUGUGAAAUCCCAGGGCUCAACCUUGGAACUGCAUCUGAUACUGGUCAGCUAGAGUUUAGGAGAGGGAAGUAGAAUUUCAGGUGUAGCGGUGAAAUGCAUAGCUAUCUGAAGGAAUACCAGUGGCGAAGGCGGCUUCCUGGCCUAAAACUGACGCUGAGGUGCGAAAGCGUGGGUAGCAAACGGGAUUAGAAACCCUAGUAGUCC